CGACCAGACUCCUACGGGAGGCAGCAGUGGGGAAUAUUGGACAGUGGGGGGAACCCUGAUCCAGCGACGCCGCGUGAGUGAAGAAGUAUUUCGGUAUGUAAAGCUCUAUCAGCAGGGAAGAAAGAAAUGACGGUACCUGACUAAGAAGCCCCGGCUAACUACGUGCCAGCAGCCGCGGUAAUACGUAGGGGGCAAGCGUUAUCCGGAUUUACUGGGUGUAAAGGGAGCGUAGACGGCGCUGCAAGUCCGGAGUGAAAGCCCAUGGCUUAACCAUGGUACUGCUCUGGAAACUGUGGAGCUUGAGUGCGGGAGGGGCAGGCGGAAUUCCUAGUGUAGCGGCGAAAUGCGUAGAUAUUAGGAGGAACACCGGCGGCGAAGGCGGCCUGCUGGACCGUAACUGACGUUGAGGCUCGAAAGCGUGGGGAGCAAACAGGAUUAGAUACCCUGGUAC
rnacentral:rRNA from 1 species